rnacentral:rRNA from 1 species
AUGAAAACUAAUUGUGCUCCUGGUCCAGACGAUAUUCUUGUUGAAUUUUAUCAACACUGCUGGGAGGUAGUAGCUCGUGAUCUCCUUUGCCUGUUUGAGUGGUUUCAUGAAGGCAAGUUAGAUGUGCAACGUCUUAACUAUGGCAUCAUAACUUUGUUGCCUAAGUCGACUGAUGCUAACAGAAUCCAGCAGUAUAGGCCCAUUUGUCUAUUACGUUGCCCAUACAAACUACUCACCAAAGCCAUGGAUAUUAGAGUUAGCAAAUAUGCUCAUAAGCUGUUUAGUAUUCAACAGAAUGCCUUCAUUAAGGGGAGACACAUAGUAGAUGGAAUCCUAUCACUACAUGAGGUUCUGCAUUAUACCCACUUCAAAAAGCAAGUGGGAGUGGUUAUUAAACUUGAUUUCGAGAAAGCACAUGACAAAGUCAAUUGGGACUUUUUGCUUGAUUGUCAUAGGAAGCGUGGGUUUAGCUCUAAGUGGUGCGGAUGGGUCUCUUAA